ACCGAUAUAUAUGAUCGGAUUGGAUCGGAUUAGAUCAGAUCGUGACAUCAUUCGAUAGAAUAGGUGAGAGUUUAGUCGAUCCGGGACAUUCUUGGAAAAGAAAAUUCCUCGCGUAUCUUUCAGCCUACGUACUUACUUCCUUACGUGCCAUCGACGAAUGAAAGCAUUUCAUGCAUAACGUUAUGAAAUCUUCGUUAGUAAUUUCGAGAAGGAGAAAAGGAAACGUUUCGGAUCGUUGAAUGCGUCGCGUAUGGAUUAACUUUCAUCGUUCUUUCACAAAAAAAAAGAAAAAAAUAAACUACGCACGUUAAUCAUCACCGAACAAUAUUUUCUCACAAAGGGCAAGAUGAUUCAUUGAGAUUCUACGUUUGCUGUUAAGGAGUUCUUGGAAAGCGAAUAAUUCACGACGUAAACAUUAUACCGCGAAGGAAAGGUAUUCUAAGCAUGGACACGAAUGGUCCGUCUCGCAUGAAAAUGCACGUCUAAUUACAUCUCGAACAACGUCGUAAUAAUAAUGACAGAAUAUCAAAACUAACUAAUUAAAUAACUAACUAACUAACGAACGAAUGAACGAACGAACGAAUAAAUAAACGAACUAAUAUUAACAAGUUUAUCUUUCGCAACCUGAAUAAUUCUCCACAUGAUUUUCUUUCUGAUAACGAGACACUGUGUUUUUCAAAAGAAAGAGAAAGAGUGAGUGAGUGAGUGUGUUAUGUGUGUGUAUGUGUGUGAGAGAGAGAGAGAGAGAGAGA